GGUGUCCGAGUCCCCGAUGCAGGUUUGGAGCAAGACGGGAAGGACACGGGGUCCACCCUUUCCUGCAGCCUGUCUGUGGGGAGCUGUGUGUGCCCUGAUCCUGCCACGCUUCAGUGGGAGAGGUGGCGGGCGUUCCGGAGCAGCCAUGCACACACCGGGCAGGUCCAGGAGAGCCCAGGUUUCGGAGCCCAGGUCUGUGUGGCUGCUCAGCCGGCAGGAAGGCCCCCUGGGCAGCUGGUUGGAGGGUGGAAACUGAGGAAGCGGGGGAGCGGCGUGGCGGGCAGAGUCACGUGGGUGGGUGACAUCCCGCACGAAGGCACCGGCUGGGGCUCUCGGAGCUGGGCCCGAGCACCCCCAGUUCUGCUCUCAGCGUCUACCCACUGCCCCCUGAGCCAGGACAUCCCACCGAGGCAGGGCGGCCUCGAUUUCUCAGGAGGAAGGGCUCCAGUAGCUCACCUCUGGGAGGCCCGUUGCUUGGGCGGACACUGUGGACACGCCUGCUGUAAGCAUCUGCUGUGGGAGCCCCCCACUCUCCGAAGGGCCUGCUCUCGGUCCCUCGAGGGCAGUGGCACCCCCUCAUGGCGCCGGGGGCGGCUUCUGUUAUAUGAAUUGGUACGAAGUAUGAGAAGCAAAUGGCUCUGGGUGCGCACUCGAGAAAUGGAAGGAAAGAAAUGUCAGUGUGGGCUGUUAAACAGAGUCGAGCUGUGGGCAGGGCCUGGCUGUGUCUUUGUUCCCUCCGCCGCCAGGUACCCACUGCCGCUCACGCACCUCGGCUGCUCAAGAUGGGCCAGCAACGUGCAGAGCAGGAGGAGGCAGGACGAGCUCCCUGGGGGACUCGCCUUCCUGGGCUGCAGGCCGUUGGCCCGGCAGUCCCUCUGGGGCAGGGCAGCCUCGGGGGGCCGGGGCAGCAGCAGCUCCACUGUAGCAGCAGUCACAACCAAGCCACACGGAAAAUCGACAAUACGGAGUCCAAAGGACAACUAGAUACUCGGCUGGACCGGUACGAGGAGCGAGGCCAGAAGCAGAGCAGGAGUUACUGCGUCUGGAAGUUCUCCGAGCUGGUGCGGUUCUGCGACUUGUCGUUACCGAGUAACUGGGACCACAGCGUUGGUGGCCUUUGUCCUUAUUUUCCAGCGGUCUUCGAUUACUGAAGAAGACAAUCUUCUCAGUCCCAAGAACCAAAGACGUGACAACCACACCUGAACCCACAGCCGACGUGUCUGGACCUGGUCUCUUAGAGUGAGACCCCUUUUCACACUGCUGCACUCCGCCAUCUAGUGUUCAUCUUUGGAAUAGCAUCUGAGUUGAGACCAACAGGAAAUGCUCGUUUUUGUUGCCACCUUGUGGACAUGUUGGGGAUAGCAACUUUCUCCCAAGCAGCUGCCCUUAUUUUGCAAGGACACUUUGAAGCCCAGCGCACCUCACACCUUCACGGCCUCGAUACUUUUUAUGUGCCCACGUCUCCGUUCUAUGUCUGAUGCUCGUCUGCAUGUGGGGUUUUUGACUCUCAUGUGAAUGAAGUUCUUAUGCCUGUGAGAAUGCAAACGUGGUUCCCAGUACGACAAAGUAUGCAGCCAAGGCCCCCACAUUUGGGGAAAUUGCGGGGGUCAGCACAUCCUGCGUGAUCACGGGAUUUCCCCUGGCAGGCUGUACAUCUUCACUUCCAUCUCCUUUCUCCUGAGUUCUAAAUUGGAAAAGAGCAGGCACAUGCUUCUCCAGGAGAGGACACGGGUUUCUGGGCAUGCUCUGAGUCACUUGCAGUCAUCAAAUUCGCUGUUCCUGACAAUUCCUUCAAACUAUAUUCAUUGCUUAAUGGCACCCUGGAUGUCUCCUUCAAUAUUAAGAGUCACAUAUUAGAGAUUAACAUGUAUUUAGUUUUUUAAGGCUUAGGGUACAUUUUACAUGCAUGUCUUUAAAACUUCAACCCUUGGAAAUGUCCAGGGAGUAUACAUAUUAGAGGGGAUAGGGCCAAUGUGGGUAAUGAAUCUAAGAUUAGAACUCAUGCCUUAUGGCUCUUUUCUUUAAACUGUCUCUAUAAUAUUGAGAGUGAAGGAUAUUUGGAAGAGAAUAAGGAAAUAGUUGGCAGAAACAUAUCUAGACAAUAAAUAAAAUGGUGAUAGAAUUUGUAAUACCUUACAAAGAACAUUUGUUCUUAGAUGAGCUGGUUCCCACCAGUUCUGUUUGAAUAAGGCUGCAUCAGUAGCUAGUUAUCUUCAAUUUCAUGAUCUAUAACAUGCUAAUUUUCAAUGGUCUAGUGAAUGUGCAAUUAAAUAAUGCUCACCCAAGUUUUCUGUGAAUUGUGUAAUACAGUAUGAAUGUGAGAUUACAGUCCUGCUAUCAAUUUACCCCUCAGCUCUCUCCAUAUUUCAAAUCUCACAGAAAUUACCUUUAGUGUCCAUUGACCAUCUUCUAGUUUAAUUUGUAAUUGUGAAAUCAUUCAUUCAGCAAACACUUGGGGGGACCUCAGGGGCCCUAAUCUGGGCCUGUGACCUCUGAGAAGCCUCAGGUAUGGACCAGCCUCACAAAGAGCUCACAAUGCAGAGGCAGGCAGGCUGAACAAAUGAUUCUAAACAGGAUGAGAGUGGCCUCAUUGGAACUCAGAGAAAGAAGCUGUUACUUCACCUUACAAGAAACAGCAUUUGAAAUCAGUUCCAAACAGAUGAGUUUCUGUUGAAGAGUGUGUAACCUUUAUGAAGACCUCAUGUCAUUUUAUUAUUUGUUGUUUCUCAAUCAUCAAACCUGCCAUUGUGGGGGUGGGGGAGAUGCUGUCUUUGAUUAGAGUGGGAGGCUCUGACCCUGGGGAUUUUACAUUCUCCUUCAUCUGGGACCAUCCACUGUACCAACUGACUACACUUUGUACGCUUUCCUUAGUCAGAAGGUCUUAGUGUAUCUCUCACUUAAGCAUAGCAGAAAAGAACUUUGGUUGAAAUCAUCAGUCAGAUGAAUGAUGUAAUGAUGUAUGGAUAAGACAAUGUAAACUUUAGAAAACUAUGAAAGUUUAUUUUUCUAAUUUCUAAAAAAGAUUUUAUUUUGAGAGCGGGGAAGGGAGGGAGAAAGAGAGGGAGAGAAACAUCGAUGUGGGAAACAUCCAUCACUUGCCUCUGGCAGACACCCCAACCGGGAACCUGGCCCCAUAACCCAGGCAUACGCCCUGAUCAGGAAUCAAACCAGUGAGCUGGUUUCCUGAUCAGGAAUCAAACCAGUGUAGGAUGACACCCAACUGCAUCAUGCUGGCUAGGGUAAAACUAUAAGUGUUUUAAUGAGUUCGUAAGUGGUUUAGAGAAGCAACUAUGGGUUAGAUUGCACUACCACUGAUACUGUGAUCUUAGACAUACAGUCAAACAUUUCUAUAUCUCUAAAAGCUCACUUUCUUCAUCAUAAAUAGUGAUGGUUAUAGUACAUGCCUCAUUGGGUUGUUGUAAUGUUUAAGUGAGUUUAUUCACAUAGAAUUCUUGAAGUCUGAAACAUUGUGAGAAUGAAACAAAUGGUAGUUACUAUUAUUGCUAUAGUUAUUAACAUUUAAGAUGAUGAGCCCUGGCUGGUGUGGCUCAGUGGAAUGAGCACUGGCCUGCAGACUGAAAGGUCACCAGUUCCAUUCCUGGUCAGGGCACAUGCCUGGGUUGUGCAAGAGGCAAGCUAUUCAUGCUUCUCUCCCUCUCUUUCUCCCUCAAUUUCCCUCUCUCUAAAAAAUGUAUAAAUAAAAUCUUUAACAAAAGAUGAUAAUAUUGGACAAUGUUGUGAAGAGACCAGGAAAGGAAGGCAACAGUUCCUAGUAUACUUUCUGGAUUUUCCUAUUCUUACCUGCGUUUCUAUCCAUGAGGAAAAUUUUCUUGUCAACAGGAUCUGGGAAACACUCAACUUCUGGUGUUUACUCUGUUCCCUUCUGAAGGCCACCCAAGAUGGUUUCACUGAAAGAUGUGGAGAAAUCAGUGUUUUGGUUGGUAAAUGUUCCUAAAAUGUGGAGAUUCUUAUUAGGGACACAGACUUCUGAAUGAGAGUAAUCCAAGAACAAUCCAAGGAUGGAUGGAAAAUGUUUUCUGGGGUAUCAUUAAGGCCUAUACUUUUACUGGGGUCAUCAACUAAUUUCAUUAGAAUGAAAAAAAAUAAAGUAUCACCUACACUUCCUUCUAUGUUCAUAAAGCAUCUAUGAUAUAAAUUGGGGACUUCGGCCAAGAUGGAAGCAUAGGUAGACACACUGUGCCUCCUCACACAACCAAAAUAAGGACAACAAUUUAGAAACAAAAUAACAACCACAAAUGACAGAAAAUUGAACUGUAUGGAAGUCCAACAAUCAAGGA